GAUGAACGCUGGCGGCGUGCCUAAUACAUGCAAGUAGAACGCUGAAGGAAGGAGCUUGCUCUUUCCGGAUGAGUUGCGAACGGGUGAGUAACGCGUAGGUAACCUGCCUGGUAGCGGGGGAUAACUAUUGGAAACGAUAGCUAAUACCGCAUAACAGUAGAUGUUGCAUGAUAUCUACUUAAAAGGUGCAAUUGCACCACUACCAGAUGGACCUGCGUUGUAUUAGCUAGUUGGUGAGGUAACGGCUCACCAAGGCGACGAUACAUAGCCGACCUGAGAGGGUGAUCGGCCACACUGGGACUGAGACACGGCCCAGACUCCUACGGGAGGCAGCAGUAGGGAAUCUUCGGCAAUGGACGGAAGUCUGACCGAGCAACGCCGCGUGAGUGAAGAAGGGUUUCGGAUCGUAAAGCUCUGUUGUAAGAGAAGAACGAGUGUGAGAGUGGAAAGUUCACACUGUGACGGUAUCUUACCAGAGAGGGACGGCUAACUACGUG
rnacentral:rRNA from 1 species